CCUACGGGAGGCAGCAGUAGGGAAUCUUUCACAAUGGGCGAAAGCCUGAUGGAGCAACGCCGCGUGCAGGAUGAAGGCCUUCGGGUUGUAAACUGCUUUUAUAAGCGAGAAAUAUGAUGGUAACUUAUGAAUAAGGAUCGGCUAACUACGUGCCAGCAGCCGCGGUCAUACGUAGGAUCCGAGCAUUAUCCGGGGUGACUGGGUGUAAAGAGUUGCGUAUGUGGCAUAAUAAGUAGCUAGUGAAAUCUGGUGGCUCAACCAUUCAGACUAUUAGCUAAACUGUUAAGCUCGAGACCGUUAGGGGUAACUGGAAUUUCUAGUGUAGGAGUGAAAUCCGUAGAUAUUAGAAGGAACACCAAUAGCGAAGGCAGGUUGCUGGGACGGUUCUGACACUAAGGCACGAAAGCGUAGGGAGCAAACGGGAUUAGAUACCCGUGUAGUC
rnacentral:rRNA from 1 species